rnacentral:rRNA from 1 species
UACGGGGGGGGUAAGCGUUGUUCGGAAUUACUGGGCGUAAAGGGCUCGUAGGCGGCCAACUAAGUCAGACGUGAAAUCCCUCGGCUUAACCGGGGAACUGCGUCUGAUACUGGAUGGCUUGAGUUCGGGAGAGGGAUGCGGAAUUCCAGGUGUAGCGGUGAAAUGCGUAGAUAUCGAGAGGAACACCUGCGGCGAAGGCGGCUCACUGGACCGGUACUGACGCUGAUGCGCGAAAGCGUGGGGAGCAAACAGG